AUCUUAACUUUGGAGAAAACCCAGUCAACAGAUCGAACGUGAAGGGGUGUCAAUCCUCAGAGAUGGAAAUGACUGGUGGAAUGAACUGGCAGUUGAAUAGCUGCACCUGCAUAUCAACCAUCUGGAACCCAAUUUCUAUUCCUCCGGUUUCCCACAUGGUUCCAACUCCAAUGGGAGCUCCUUCCCUAAUGGCACCUCAACCCGUGAUUUAUACCCAACCAGGCUUAAGGACCAGCAAGCCUUCCGCUCCAUCCACAAGAAAUAACAGACAGAAUCCAUGAAGAAGUACCAAAGCAAAAAGAUUCCAAAUCAGAGGUGAAAACAAAUGAUGAUCUCUCUACAGGCUGAUUGAAUCAUCCACAUCUUCCAAGUAAAAUAAACAUCCAUUUGGACAUUCAAUACUCUUGAGAUUCUUCAUUCAGUGUUUUUGAGGUGAUGCACUCUUUCUCUUGUUUUAAUAGUUAGC